rnacentral:rRNA from 1 species
ACGUAGGGACCAAGCGUUGUUCGGAUUUACUGGGCGUAAAGGGCGCGUAGGCGGCAAUUCAAGUCAGGGGUGAAAGCCCAGAGCUCAACUCUGGAGCUGCCCUUGAAACUGUAUGGCUUGAGUAUGAGAGAGGUGAGUGGAAUUCCCAGUGUAGAGGUGAAAUGCUUAGAUAUGACAUAGAACACCAAUUGCGAAGGCAGCUUACUACACAACGAUUGACGCUGAGGCACGAAAGCGUGGGGAUCAAACAGGA